rnacentral:rRNA from 1 species
GUAGGGAAUUUUCGUCAAUGGGGGAAACCCUGAACGAGCAAUGCCGCGUGAGUGAAGAAGGUCUUCGGAUCGUAAAGCUCUGUUGUAAGUGAAGAACGGCUCAUAGAGGAAAUGCUAUGGGAGUGACGGUAGCUUACCAGAAAGCCACGGCUAACUACGUGCCAGCAGCCGCGGUAAUACGUAGGUGGCAAGCGUUAUCCGGAAUCAUUGGGCGUAAAGGGUGCGUAGGUGGCGUACUAAGUCUGUAGUAAAAGGCAAUGGCUCAACCAUUGUAAGCUAUGGAAACUGGUAUGCUGGAGUGCAGAAGAGGGCGAUGGAAUUCCAUGUGUAGCGGUAAAAUGCGUAGAUAUAUGGAGGAACACCAGUGGCGAAGGCGGUCGCCUGGUCUGUAACUGACACUGAGGCACGAAAGCGUGGGGAGCAAAUAGG